rnacentral:rRNA from 1 species
GACGAACGCUGGCGGCGUGCUUAACACAUGCAAGUCGAACGGAAAGACCCUGCUUUUGUGGGGUUCUCGAGUGGCGAACGGGUGAGUAACACGUGAGUAACCUGCCCUUGACUUUGGGAUAACUUCAGGAAACUGGGGCGAUUACCGGAUAGGAGCUCCUGCUGCAUGGUGGGGGUUGGAAAGAUUCGGCGGUUGGGGCUGGUCUCGCGGCUUAUCAGCUUGUUGGUGGGGUAGUGGCUUACAAAGGGUUUGACGGGUAGCCGGCCUGAGAGCGUGACCGGGCACCUGGGGACUGAGGGAGGGCCCAGACGCGAACGGGAGGCAGCAGGGGGGAAUAUGGCACAAUGGGCGGAAGCCAGAUGCAGCAACGCCGCGUGCGUGAUGACGGCCUUCGGGGGAUAAACCGCUGUCGCCGGUGCCGAAGCGGGAGUGACGGUAAUGGGUAAAGAAGCACCGGCUAACUACGUG